AUUGAACGCUGGCGGCAGGCCUAACACAUGCAAGUCGAACGAGUGGCGGACGUGUGAGUAAUGUCUGGGAAACUGCCUGAUGGCGGGGGAUAACUACUGGAACCGGUAGCUAAUACCGCAUACCAUCGGAUGUGCCCCGAUGGGAUUAGCUAGUAGGUGGGGUAAAGGCGCACCUAGGCGACGAUCCCUAGCUGGUCUGAGAGGAUGACCAGCCACACUGGAACUGAGACACGGUCCAGACUACUCCGGGAGGCAGCAGUGGGGAAUAGUGCACAAUGGGCGCAAGACUGAUGCAGCCAGGCCGCGUGUAUGAAGAAGGCCGUCGGGUUGUAAAGUACUUUCAGCGGUGAGGCGUUACCCGAAGAAGAAGCACCGGCUAACUCCGUGCCAGCAGCCGCGGUAAUUG
rnacentral:rRNA from 1 species